UACGGAGGAUCCGAGCGUUAUCCGGAUUUAUUGGGUUUAAAGGGUGCGUAGGUGGAUUGGUAAGUCAGUGGUGAAAGUUUGCAGCUUAACUGUAAAAUUGCCGUUGAAACUGCCGGUCUUGAGUGCAAAUGAGGUAGGCGGAAUGCGUCGUCUAGCGGUGAAAUGCUUAGAUAUGACGCAGAACUCCGAUUGCGAAGGCAGCUUACUGGGAUGCAACUGACGCUGAGGCACGAAAGCGUGGGUAUCAAACAGGAUUAGAUACCCCU
rnacentral:rRNA from 1 species